rnacentral:rRNA from 1 species
GUCUACGGCCAUACCACCCUGAAUACGGCCGAUCCCAUAUCUGAUCUCGGAAGCUAAGCAGGGUCGGGCCUGGUUAGUACUUGGAUGGGAAGACACAUGGAAACUAAAUGCAAAGGCA